rnacentral:rRNA from 1 species
CGAAAGCCUGACGGAGCAACGCCGCGUGAGGGACGAAGGCCUCUGGGCUGUAAACCUCUUUUCUCAAGGAAGAAGACCUGACGGUACUUGAGGAAUAAGCAUCGGCUAACUCCGUGCCAGCAGCCGCGGUAAUACGGAGGAUGCAAGCGUUAUCCGGAAUUAUUGGGCGUAAAGCGUCCGCAGGUGGCUGUUCAAGUCUGCUGUUAAAGCGUGGAGCUUAACUCCAUAAUGGCAGUGGAAACUGAUUGGCUGGAGUGUGGUAGGGGCAGAGGGAAUUCCCGGUGUAGCGGUGAAAUGCGUAGAUAUCGGGAAGAACACCAGUGGCGAAGGCGCUCUGCUGGGCCAUAACUGACGCUCAUGGACGAAAGCUAGGGUAGCG